GACGAACGCUGGCGGCGUGCUUAACACAUGCAAGUCGAACGGAAAGGCCCUGCUUUUGUGGGGUGCUCGAGUGGCGAACGGGUGAGUAACACGUGAGUAACCUGCCCUUGACUUUGGGAUAACUUCAGGAAACUGGGGCUAAUACCGGAUAGGAGCUCCUGCUGCAUGGUGGGGGUUGGAAAGUUUCGGCGGUUGGGGAUGGACUCGCGGCUUAUCAGCUUGUUGGUGGGGUAGUGGCUUACCAAGGCUUUGACGGGUAGCCGGCCUGAGAGGGUGACCGGCCACAUUGGGACUGAGAUACGGACCAGACUCCUACGGGAGGCAGCAGGGGGGAAUAUUGCACAAUGGGCGGAAGCCUGAUGCAGCAACGCUGCGUGCGGGAUGACGGCCUUCGGGGUGUAAACCGCUUUCGCCUGUGACGAAGCGUGAGUGACGGUAAUGGGUAAAGAAGCACCGGCUAACUACGUG
rnacentral:rRNA from 1 species